UACGAAGGGGGCUAGCGUUGCUCGGAAUCACUGGGCGUAAAGGGUGCGUAGGCGGGUCUUUAAGUCAGGGGUGAAAUCCUGGAGCUCAACUCCAGAACUGCCUUUGAUACUGAGGAUCUUGAGUACGGGAGAGGUGAGUGGAACUGCGAGUGUAGAGGUGAAAUUCGUAGAUAUUCGCAAGAACACCAGUGGCGAAGGCAGCUAACUACGCGAUAAUUGACGCUGAUGCACGAAAGCGUGGGGAUCAAACAGG
rnacentral:rRNA from 1 species